rnacentral:rRNA from 1 species
CCUACGGGAGGCAGCAGUGGGGAAUUUUGGACAAUGGACGAAAGUCUGAUCCAGCCAUGCCGCGUGCGGGAAGAAGGCCUUCGGGUUGUAAACCGCUUUUGUCAGGGAAGAAAUCCUUUGAGUUAAUACCUCGGGGGGAUGACGGUACCUGAAGAAUAAGCACCGGCUAACUACGUGCCAGCAGCCGCGGUAAUACGUAGGGUGCAAGCGUUAAUCGGAAUUACUGGGCGUAAAGCGUGCGCAGGCGGUUAUAUAAGACAGAGGUGAAAUCCCCGGGCUCAACCUGGGAACUGCCUUUGUGACUGUAUAGCUUGAGUGCGGCAGAGGGGGAUGGAAUUCCGCGUGUAGCAGUGAAAUGCGUAGAUAUGCGGAGGAACACCGAUGGCGAAGGCAAUCCCCUGGGCCUGCACUGACGCUCAUGCACGAAAGCGUGGGGAGCAAACAGGAUUAGAUACCCUGGUAGUCCACGCCCUAAACGAUGUCAACUGGUUGUUGGGAAGGUUCCUUCUCAGUAACGUAGCUAACGCGUGAAGUUGACCGCCUGGGGAGGUACGGCCGCGAGUAGAACGACAANAGAGUAGACGGCGUGAGACGCGACGACGACGACGACGGAGGAGG